AUUGAACGCUGGCGGCAGGCCUAACACAUGCAAGUCGAGCGAGCGGCGGACGGGUGAGUAAUGUCUGGGACACUGCCUGAUGGAGGGGGAUAACUACUGGAAACGGUAGCUAAUACCGCAUACCAUUAGAUCUGCCCAUAUGGGAUUAGCUAGUUGGUGGGGUAAUGGCUCACCUAGGCGACGAUCCCUAGCUGGUCUGAGAGGAUGACCAGCCACACUGGAACUGGGAAACGGCCCAGACUCCUACGGGAGGCAGCAGUGGGGAAUAUUGCACAAUGGGGGCAAGCCUGAUACAGCCAUGCCGCGUGUAUGAAGAAGGCCUUCGGGUUGUAAAGUACUUUCAGCAGGGAGGCGUUACCCGCAGAAGAAGCACCGGCUAACUCCGUGCCAGCAGCCGCGGUAAUAC
rnacentral:rRNA from 1 species